GUAGGGAAUCUUCCGCAAUGGACGAAAGUCUGACGGAGCAACGCCGCGUGAGCGAAGAAGGUCUUCGGAUCGUAAAGCUCUGUUGUCAGGGAAGAACAAGUACCGUUCGAACAGGGCGGUACCUUGACGGUACCUGACGAGGAAGCCACGGCUAACUACGUGCCAGCAGCCGCGGUAAUACGUAGGUGGCAAGCGUUGUCCGGAAUUAUUGGGCGUAAAGCGCGCGCAGGCGGUUCCUUAAGUCUGAUGUGAAAUCUCGCGGCUCAACCGCGAGCGGCCAUUGGAAACUGGGGAACUUGAGUGCAGGAGAGGGGAGCGGAAUUCCACGUGUAGCGGUGAAAUGCGUAGAGAUGUGGAGGAACACCAGUGGCGAAGGCGGCUCUCUGGCCUGUAACUGACGCUGAGGCGCGAAAGCGUGGGGAGCGAACAGGAUUAGAAACCCCAGUAGUCC
rnacentral:rRNA from 1 species